AUACGUAGGGUGCAAGCGUUAAUCGGAAUUACUGGGCGUAAAGCGUGCGCAGGCGGUUUUGUAAGACAGAGGUGAAAUCCCCGGGCUCAACCUGGGAACUGCCUUUAUGACUGCAAGGCUAGAGUACGGCAGAGGGGGAUGGAAUUCCGCGUGUAGCAGUGAAAUGCGUAGAUAUGCGGAGGAACAUCGAUGGCGAAGGCAAUCCCCGGGGCCUGUACUGACGCUCAUGCACGAAAGCGUGGGGAGCAAACAGGAUUAGAUACCCUGAUAGUCCACGCCCUAAACGAUGUCAACUGGUUGUUGGGUCUUCAUUGACUCAGUAACGAAGCUAACGCGUGAAGUUGACCGCCUGGGGAGUACGGCCGCAAGGUUGAAACUUAAAGGAAUUGACGGGG
rnacentral:rRNA from 1 species